AGUGAGAAGUGCUGGGGUCAAGGCCAGGCCCGAGGGUGUGGGCAGAGGGGCCUCAGCACCCUGCAGGGAGGGGGGGCCUGGCCAGCUGCAGGGGCUCCUCUCAGCUGGAAUCCGACCCUCUGACCUGGAGGAGGGGCAGAGCUACAGGGUCAUGGCCAUUUUCUUUUUCUUUCCAAGUGGUUUCCAGUUCCCGGGGGAGUCGCCACAGACAGCUCCCCACCCCCCCUAACCCCAGAUGCUUUCUCCGUCUUUGUCUUUCCGGGAGGGCACAGUGGCCACAGGGCGCAGCCCACCCCCAAACUCUUCCGUAUUCUCCAGUUUAUUUGUUCCCUGCAAAUAAGGACACCCUCCCGCAGAACCCCAGCAUGACAUGGAAAUCAGGACAUCCACGCUGCUCCAUGACAACCCGCCCCACGUCUCCACAAUGUCCGACGUCAGCAUGGCCCGCUGUCCCUGUCACUGCGGGUCCGAUGGCCUCUUGGGAGCUCUGACUCCUGUGACCUUGACACCUCCGAUGACUUCCAGCUGCUUUACAGAGCGCCCCGCGCCGGGGGUUUGGGCGAGAUUCCCAGAAAUGAGACGCGAGUCCCCACGAGGGUGUGGAGGUGUCACCCGAUUGGGCCGAGAUCCGCUGGGACCUGUCCGUCACUCUUGAUGAGGGUCCUGGGUGCAGGGGCAUUUCUGCAGGCAAAGUCUCCUGACCCGUCAUCCCUUCUGAUUGCCCGGCUGGGAUUCUAGCAGGGGACUGUCCCCUUCUCCCAGGUGCUGACUGUGUACACCAACGCGGACUCAGGAUUCUGCCUCCACCCGGUGGAUUAUAAUCGGCUCUGGUAUGAUUUAUUUUGAUGCUCACGUCAUUCCAGAUCUGGCCGGUGGCAGCCCCUCUGAGCUGGGUUCUGGGUUCUCUGUGACCUUAUCUCAUCAGACUUUGAGCAUGUCCUUAUUUUCUAGAGAGGAAAAAAAUUUUAUUCCCGCUUAUCUUGCCCUUCCUCUGUCCCAGCUUUGAAAUCAGCCAUUUCCCCAAGGAGCCCUGGUUCCUCUUAGUGGAGAUUGGUGUUUAGAAGCCCAGAUCUGCAUCUUAAGGGUGCUCGUUGCUAUGGGGCAGUGGUGCCCCGGCGCCCUCUCAGUGCCACAGACAUCUACUUCUAUAUUUCUUUCCUUAUCUAUCUGCUCACAGUCACCCCCAGGUAUCAUGGGGGAUAGGUUCCAGGACUCCCCAUGGACACCCAAAGCCACCAAUACUCACUUCCCUUAGCUAACAUGGUACGGGGUCUGCACAUAACCUUCACCCCUCUCCCCAGGAGGGGGAAGCCACAUCAGAUGCAGUCAAGAUGAGGUCUAAACAGCCAACAAUAAAAAAUUAAAAAAAAAAAAAAAAGAUGAGGUCUAGCCGCAGCCUGACCCCACAGGGUGUUCUGAUGCCUCUUCUCGUCCCAGCUCAUCAUGGGGAU
rnacentral:lncRNA from 1 species